CGAAGGGUGCAAGCGUUACUCGGAAUUACUGGGCGUAAAGCGUGCGUAGGUGGUUUGUUAAGUCUGAUGUGAAAGCCCUGGGCUCAACCUGGGAAUGGCAUUGGAAACUGGCUGACUAGAGUGCGGUAGAGGGUAGUGGAAUUCCCGGUGUAGCAGUGAAAUGCGUAGAUAUCGGGAGGAACAUCUGUGGCGAAGGCGACUACCUGGACCAGCACUGACACUGAGGCACGAAAGCGUGGGGAGCAAACAGGAUUAGACUACCCUGGUAGUCCACGCCCUAAACGAUGCGAACUGGAUGUUGGGAGCAACUUGGCUCUCAGUAUCGAAGCUAACGCGUUAAGUUCGCCGCCUGGGAAGUACGGUCGCAAGACUG
rnacentral:rRNA from 1 species